GUCCAUUGACACAACUUUCCCAUCAACAGCAACUUGAGUUUGUUCAUCCAAAGAUUUGGAGGUUGCAGUAGUAAUGGGAUCUUUUGCUGUUGAAACUGAACCUUUUUUAGAACUGGAUAUAACACCCUCCACAGCAUCAGCACCAUGUGUCCCCUCCAAAGCUGCUUCAACUUCGGGAUUUAAAUUUUCAUCGGUCAAUAUCAUGACAGUUCUCUCACCUACAACUUUGUUAGCUAUUAUUGAAUCUUCCCUAACAGUUGAAGACUCCUCAACGGCUUUAGUCUCUAAAAUUGAACCUUCCAUAACAGUUGAAGACUCAUUGACAGCUUUAGCUUCAACAUUAGGACAUGUAACCUCUUUUUUGUCGAUUGAUACAACUUUCCCAUCAACUGCAACUUGAUUCUGUUCAUCCAAAGAUUUGGAGCUUGCAGUGGUAAUGGGAUCUUUUGCUGUUGAAACUGAAUCAUUUUCAGAACUAGAUAUAACGCCCUCCACAGCAUCAACACCAUGUGUCCCCUCCAAAGCUGCUUCAAUUUUGGGAUAACUUUCAUCCUCCACAAUUGCAGCUGCUUC
rnacentral:lncRNA from 1 species